CCUACGGGUGGCAGCAGUGAGGAAUAUUGGUCAAUGGACGAGAGUCUGAACCAGCCAAGUAGCGUGAAGGAUGACUGCCCUAUGGGUUGUAAACUUCUUUUAUAUGGGAAUAAAACGUUCCACGUGUGGGAUUUUGUAUGUACCAUAUGAAUAAGGAUCGGCUAACUCCGUGCCAGCAGCCGCGGUAAUACGGAGGAUCCGAGCGUUAUCCGGAUUUAUUGGGUUUAAAGGGAGCGUAGGUGGAUUGUUAAGUCAGUUGUGAAAGUUUGCGGCUCAACCGUAAAAUUGCAGUUGAAACUGGCAGUCUUGAGUGCAGUAGAGGUGGGCGGAAUUCGUGGUGUAGCGGUGAAAUGCUUAGAUAUCACGAAGAACUCCGAUUGCGAAGGCAGUUCACUGGACUGCAACUGACACUGAGGCUCGAAAGUGUGGGUAUCAAACAGGAUUAGAUACCCCUGUAGUC
rnacentral:rRNA from 1 species